GACGAACGCUGGCGGUGUGCUUAACACAUGCAAGUCGAACGGAAAGGCCCUGUCGGGGGUACACGAGCGGCGAACGGGGGAGUAACACGAGAGUAACCUGCACCCAUCUCUGGGAUAACAGUCGGAAAGGGAUGCCAAUGCUGGUAAUGAGCAUGCAAGGCAUCUGGAGGGUUGGAAAGUGAUUUUUGGGUUGGGGAUGGACUCGCGGCGUAUCAGCGUGGUGGUGGGGAAGUGGCUCACCAAGGCUUCGACGGGGAGCCGGCCUGCGGGGGCGACCGGCCACAUUGGGCCUGUGCGGCGGCCCACACUCCUACGUGUGGCAGCAGUGGGGAAUAUUUCACAGUGGACGGCCGUCUGAUGCAGCAACGCCUCGUGCGGGAUGGCGGCCUUCGGGUUGUAAGCCGCUUUCUAUAGUGACGUAGCUUUUUUGUGACGGUAGCAGUAGAAGAAGCACCGGCUAACUACGUG
rnacentral:rRNA from 1 species